rnacentral:rRNA from 1 species
CCAGACUCCUACGGGAGGCAGCAGUGAGGAAUAUUGGUCAAUGGGCGAGAGCCUGAACCAGCCAAGUAGCGUGCAGGAAGACGGCCCUAUGGGUUGUAAACUGCUUUUGUAUGGGGAUAAAGUCAGUCACGUGUGAUUGUUUGCAGGUACCAUACGAAUAAGGACCGGCUAAUUCCGUGCCAGCAGCCGCGGUAAUACGGAAGGUCCGGGCGUUAUCCGGAUUUAUUGGGUUUAAAGGGAGCGUAGGCUGGAGAUUAAGUGUGUUGUGAAAUGUAGACGCUCAACGUCUGACUUGCAGCGCAUACUGGUUUCCUUGAGUACGCACAACGUUGGCGGAAUUCGUCGUGUAGCGGUGAAAUGCCUAGAUAUGACGAAGAACUCCGAUUGCGAAGGCAGCUGACGGGAGCGCAACUGACGCUGAAGCUCGAAGGUGCGGGUAUCGAACAGGAUUAGAUACCCUGGUAGUCCGCACAGUAAACGAUGGAUGCCCGCUGUUGGUACCUGGUAUCAGCGGCUAAGCGAAAGCAUUAAGCAUCCCACCUGGGGAGUACGCCGGCAACGGUGAAACUCAAAGGAAUUGACGGGGGCCCGCACAAG